rnacentral:rRNA from 1 species
UACGUAGGGACCAAGCGUUGUUCGGAUUUACUGGGCGUAAAGGGCGCGUAGGCGGCGCGGUAAGUCACUUGUGAAAUCUCUGAGCUUAACUCAGAACGGCCAAGUGAUACUGCAGUGCUAGAGUGUGGAAGGGGCAAUCGGAAUUCUUGGUGUAGCGGUGAAAUGCGUAGAUAUCAGGAAGAACACCCGUGGCUAAGGCGGUUCUCUAGUACGGUACUGACGCUGAGACGCGAAAGCGUGGGGAGCGAACAGG